UCUUAGUUCCCCAACCAGGGAUCGAACCCAUGCCCCCCUACAAAGGAAGUGCAGAUUCUUAACCACUGAACCACCAGGAAAGUCCCUUAAAUAUAUGUUUCUUAAGCACCCACUGGUGACAGGCACAAUGGUUGCAGCUAGCAAAACCAGAUUCGGUCCCUGCCAUCAUGGCACUUAAGAGUCUCAGGGAAGGACAGACAGUGACCAGUCAGAUAAAGGCACAGUGGGCCUGGCAACACGCUAUGACUAGAGGAUGAGUUUUCAACAGAGGACUUGAACUCAGUCAGGGUCGGCCAGGGUCAGCUUCUUCAAAGAAGUGACUCUUGUACCAAUAUCCCCAGGGUAAUGAGGGUCUGACUAGGUGAAGGGUACAAAAAAAAGUGUUCCCAGAAGAGGCACAGCAUGUGGGAAACCUGGGUCAAGAGGGCACAGGGCCCGUUCGAGGCACCGAGAGGGGCCAGCAGUGUUGUGAGGUGAGGCUGUCGAGGUUCCGGGCGAGUCAGACCCUGCAGAACCUUGUUGUCUGUGGAGAAUUCUCAUGCUGAGGAUCACGGAGAGCCUCUGAAGAAUUCUCAGCAAAGGAAGACAGCAUCAAGUCAGCAUUUUGCCUCCUCUGAAUACUAUUAGGAAGGGACAGGUGAUGGUGGAAGGGAUGGUGAGGGCAGAGAGGAGCAGAGUAGAUACAGGGGGACCAGUGAGGAGAUGGUGAUGGAGUGAUGACAUCCUCGUGAGACAUGAUGGGGGCCUGAUUGGAGCCAUGACAGUCCAGAGUGGUCACACUCGGAUACGAUUUAGGAUUUUGAAUUAACAGGAUUUGGUGAUAGAUGGAAUGAGGAGUCGAGGCCAACUCCCAGCUCUGCACAGGUUCAUCUGAAGGGGGUACUGGAAAGGAACAUGGAACUAAGAAGCCACCACCAACCGGAAGAGUUCAGGAAAGGUCCAAAGGAGAUAUCACGUGUCCCACCACCUCCCAGAAUCCUCACUGGAAUUCAUCUUGGCUGAGCAAUGCGUGCACCACCAAGAAGGACCCUGAGUCAGAGUGAUUGGUCAGAGACAACCCAGAAAGUAACUCCAACACCAUAAAACCCAGGACUGCAAGCCACAUGGCAGAGCAGUCCUCCUGGGUCUCCUUACCCUCCUGCCCCCCACCCAGGCAACCCUUCCCAAUAAAGUCUCUUGCUCUGUCAA